rnacentral:miRNA from 1 species
AGGUUGGUGCAAAAGUAAUUGCUGUUUUUGCCAUACUUUCAACGGCAAAAACCACAAAUAUUUUUGCACCAACCUAU